rnacentral:rRNA from 1 species
GACGAACGCUGGCGGCGUGCUUAACACAUGCAAGUCGAACGGUGAACCUCUUCGGAGGGGAUCAGUUGCGAACGGGUGAGUAACACGUGGGCAACCUGCCCCCGGCUCUGGGAUAACUCCAAGAAAUUGGGGCUAAUACCGGAUGUUCACCGCUUCCCGCAUGGGUGGUGGUGGAAAGGGUUUCCGGCUGGGGAUGGGCCCGCGGCCUAUCAGCUUGUUGGUGGGGUAGUGGCCUACCAAGGCGACGACGGGUAGCCGGCCUGAGAGGGUGACCGGCCACACUGGGACUGAGACACGGCCCAGACUCCUACGGGAGGCAGCAGUGGGGAAUAUUGCGCAAUGGGCGGAAGCCUGACGCAGCGACGCCGCGUGGGGGAUGACGGCCUUCGGGUUGUAAACCUCUUUCAGCAGGGACGAAGCGCAAGUGACGGUACCUGCAGAAGAAGCACCGGCCAACUACGUG